UUAUCAUUCUGUGCCCGAGUGGACAGAUGGUGAAAGAUAUUUUUAGAUUCUGAAAUGGUAACUUCCUAUUCUUGGUAGGAAGCUUCAUCCCCCUUUUCCUUCAGCCUAAAGUGGGCCAGAUGCCCCUCGACUCACUGGCUAUCCCCCCAUUCAGAAUCCACUUACAAGAAACUAAUACUUCUCUUCUUUGUUAAGCAUAAACUGAGUUUCCCUCAAAUAGGGCAAAAAUGGCCAUGGGUGUGGGGUCCCAGGGGAGUAGCUAGAAUUGCUAAGGAUCCCCUCAGCUCUAUGGUUUCUUGGAUAUGGAUAAAAGGACUAGCUAUUUCUACUAUCUCCCAUUUGCAAAAUGAGGAGGCUGGGAUGAGAUAAGUUUGUAGGGAUAACAAUCUAAUAGCUCUUAGGUUGAAUGUGGCUUGUGGAAGUGUUUUGUGUGGCUUGCAUAGUAUUUUAAAAACCCAGAGUCGUAGCUUCCCUUUAAAAAAAUUGGAUCUAGCAGUAUCAAUCCUGUAACAAUUUAGAAAGAGUCUAUGUGCUCUAAUUUGUCCAUCUUUCCCUUUGAUCAUAUCUGUACUAUUUCACUUAGACAUGAAAGCCCUAAUUUACAGUUCUAUAACAAUUAUUUUAUUAAACACUGACUUUGUGCCAAGCCUA
ensembl:lncRNA novel transcript, sense intronic to XKR7